AAAUUAAUAAAGGAAUCAUAAACCUUCAUAUUUCAUUGAAAUAACUUUGACAUUAUAAAUAGUUGAUUAAUUUCCAUAUAAAACAUCAUGCAGAGUAUUGGAUAUAUCUCUAUAAAUUUUACUCCUAUUUAAUUAUCUAUCUUUAAACAGAUUAAUUUAGAGACAUUUUUUUGUAUAAGUUGUUGUAUGUCCAAGGAGCAAGGAAGGUGGCUCUGUUUGGGGUCAGUAAGAUAGGGUGCACCCCGCGGAUGAUUUCCUCCCAUGGUGGUGGUAUGGGCUGUGCCGCUGAAGUGAACAAAGCAGUUGAACCUUUCAACAUGAACCUUAAAGCUCUGGUCAGAGAGUUCAACACUAACUUCGCCGAUGCUAAGUUCACUUUUGUCGAUAUGUACACCGGGCAAACUCCAUUUGCGUAUGCUGCCUUAGGUAAGUAAUACUAAAUAUAUUGAACUGAAAUUUUUGACCCAAGAUGAAAUCAUUUUACCGGAUAAAAAACAUAUAGUAUAAUACUAAAAUACACUGUUUUCAUUAAGGUGUUCUAAGGAAUACCAGAGUUAAGUUUCCCAAAAUACACAAGGAAAACUUUUGGAAAGGUUUAUGAUCAACUCCUUCCUAAUGGCUUUACUAAUCCAGUUGUAUGAUCAGCUAUUAAGCUUUUUGAAGAUGAUUCCUAAAUACAUAAAAAAACUUCAUUAACUUUUCAUAAUCGUGUUCCUAGAAUACUUGAUAUCUUAAAAUCAAAUAUUUUCUAUCGUUUUCAUUUUCUUCUGAAAUAUAAAUUUAAAUCUUCAUUUUGUCACAACUCUAAAAGAUUUGAUCAGUUGGAUCAUUUAUUUUCCAUAGUAGUACAAUUGCAGUAUAAUCACGAUAAAAUUUAUAAUAUUAGAUUGUGAUCCUAUAAUUUGAUUUGAUCAUGCAUAUACUUUUAACAAAAAAGUAAAAAUAAUUAUGCGUAUUUUUACAUUCUUGUAGGGUUUGCUGUAACACAAAAGAGUUGUUGUACGGUAGAAUCAGGGGAAGAACUAUGUGCUGCGGAUAAACCGGUUUGUGCGUUUCGAGACCGGUACGUGUACUGGGACAAUGUCCACAGCACUGAGAGGGCCAACAUGUUUGUGGCAAAGGCUGCUUUUGCCGGAAUCGUUGCUUUUCCUUACAGCAUUGCCUUGCUUGGAAUAGUGUAGGGAUAAUAUACUCGAAACCAUUCAUUUUCUUUUGUUGGAUAUUUUAUAUAUAUGAUCUUUGUUAUUAAUCUAAUUGUUUUACUGAGCAAGGAAACUUUGUUUCAUUAAUUUCAACCGGUGAUUUUUUUUGCACCAAAUUCUUAUAUUAAAAAUUAACCACACAACAGGCUUAUAAGGUUACAACGGUAGGUAACCUGGACUACUAAACGAUAAAAAGAAACUACUCAAUUUUUGUUUACCAAUAUGGAUCAUUUAUUUUGGAGAGUGUCCUCCGAAAUGGAGGAUCAUUAAUUUGCUUGGAUUCUCUGGUAUAUAUGGAAAGGUAGAAACAAUAAAGUUUUUAGCAAUUUGGAUAUGGAUCCCAGAGAUACUCUCAAAUUGGCAGAAACGGAAUCGUUACUUUGGGCGGAAGCACAAAACUCUCAGACUCAGAGUACGGACCGCACCCAAGUUCCAGUACCUUUGGCAAUACCGAGUAUACCAGGUAGAUGGUGUUUUACGGACGGAUCUUGGAAAACAGAGGAUAAAUAUUCAGGGCAAUUAGGAUGGUACAGUACCCUGACAACUAUAUGGAAGUAGUUUAAUGGUGAAUAGACUUUGAGAAGAUAAAUGAUCUGGAUUCGAAUCAAUUUCACCUCAUUAAAUUUAGGUGGGUUUAUUCUUGUGGACUACAUCUCCUAUUACAAAACUAAUGUGAUUUUUUUUCAUAUAUCUAAGAUAUCUCGUAAGUUAUUCCAUUUUUUUGUCAAAUGCUCAUAUUUAGCAGAUUCAAUCUCGGUUCAGUUCAGCGGUGGCACAUGCAUUUGUGUGUGUUUUUACUAAUGCAUGUGUGCGGUUGUUUCCUUUUCCUUUUUCGGACAACCACGUGGUGUAGUUUUAUAUAAUGAUUUCUCAUUGAUUCUCUAUAGUUGCCUAAAUCUAUUGAACUUUGUUGUGAGUUUACAUUUUCACUUGGCCAAUACAUCAUUUAAAAUUUUCUCAUAAAUUAAUUUGAUAACCCAUUUUUCUAAAGUCAUUCAAUUUUUAUAAAACUCAUUUGACUUUGAAAACUGUUCCAGCAAUAAACUCUCUAUUACAACAAAAAUUAAGCAACAACUCCAACUUAUAAUUUUCAUUCUUCAGCUGAGAUGACUAUGUCUUCACGUCUUAUUAUCAAAGGUUUGUAGUUGUUUCUAACAGUCUUAAUUAUAUCUGUUAUCGUUUUGUUUUUUUUUUUGUUUUUUGUUUUUUGUUUUUUGUUUUUUGUUUUUUGCAUAUAGGAAAAACAAUUUUAACCAAAAAUCCCUAGUUUAUGGUAUCCAUGAUAAGUGUGUGAACUUUAACCAAAGAAACAAACGACAGCAAGUUGUAGAAGUUAUCAUAUUAACUAACAUUGUCAAACGGCCAAAGCGUCGAGAGUCGAGACUUUGCAAACUAAUUUUUAUUGUUCGGUUAAAAUGUGAUCUAUUUCGUUACAAAAAUUGUGUUCUAUUUAUACAAUUAAAUGUAAUAAAUUAAUAGUUAUAUGAGAUUUUACAAUUUUGUAUUAUUUAUAUUGUAUUUGAAGUGAAUUUAAAUUAUAAAUAAGCAUAAAAUUGAAACAAAAUAUGAGUUCAAGUCUCUAAUUAUUAAUUACCCAGCUACAUUAAGCUUUUGUUUUCAUAGUUUUUUUUAUUUUUAUGGGGUCAAACUAUAAAAUUUGGUGGGGUCAUAAUAUUUUUUAUGAAAGAAAAACUUAUAUUUUAUAAAUUAGGUGGGGUCAGCUGACCCCCUCCAACAUCUAUACUUAUCAGUCUUGAAUUGAAACAAAAUUACUAAAUACUCUUCAAAAACACCAUAGAGGUUUUUCUUGACAAAAUGACUUGUAUUUUUCUCAUUACAACUCACGUGCAAGUUGACUAUUAAAGAUACUUUAAAAAUAAAUUAAUUAACAUCCGUAAUUAACUGACUAUCUCUUCUAUUGGAUAGACUAGAAAUAGAAUUUUAAUUCUGUCUGUCUCCUCCUAUGUAUGGGUUAUAUAUAUAGACUUUUCUCUUUUCUUCAAUGUUGCCACAUUUCAGAUUUCUAGUAAUUGGUUUUCAGAAAUGGCGGAGGGAAUGUUCAAGGUAUUGCUGUGGGUUUUAGCCGCAAUGGUGUUUGCAAUGGCCGAAGGGGCUCGUGGACAGCGCGUGCCUUGCUAUUUCGUUUUCGGAGACUCAGUUUUCGACAACGGUAACAACAAUGACUUGAACACCUCCGCUAAAGUUAACUAUUCACCUUAUGGUAUGGAUUUAGCUAGAGGUCCCACGGGCCGAUUCAGCAAUGGCCGUAAUAUUCCCGACUUUAUCGGUUAGUCCCUGGCUUGUUUUAUUUCUUUGCCCAAAUGUUUUCGAUGAAAUUACUAAUAGAUACUAUUAACUAGAAAAGACAAACGUAUCAUAACGUAUUCUUUGCCUAACUGGAAGUUUAGAAUGUAGGCAUUUCUCUUUUAGCUGAUAUUUUCAAUGGAACAUAAAAAGAAAUGCAAACAUUAGAACUAGAUAUAUAGUGUUAUGCAGACCAGUCACAGAUGCAAAUUAAGAGACUAUUUAAGUAGAUAAAUAAAUUUUUGCUUAUCACACGUCCACAUAGGUGGUUUAGAGUUUCUCAAAAUAUAUAAAUAAAUAAAAGGGAAGUAAAAGGAUGAGAGGUAAAAGGAUGAGAGGUGAGAAAAUCUCUCCAUUGAGAGACUAUAUCACACAAAACGAUCUCUCCGUGAGAGACUAUAUAUAACACUUCUGGAAAAAAACCAUUUGCUUAGUUUUUAGACAGUCAAUGUUUAAAAAUCUAUAAACAUCACUUUUUGUUUUGUUUAGAAACUCUGCUGAGUCUCUGGCGAUAAAUAUCAUUGAUUAAUAGCAACUCCAAUAUUGGAGAUACUUACUUGAGGAUCUGAACAAAUAUCAUUACUUUUGAAUAUGCUUAGUUUUAAUUUUAGACAAAACUAAUGAUUUAAGAGGGUGACAAGUGUCUCUAUGGUUUUUUAAGAUCAUCUCCAACCCACUGUAAUAUUUAUCUUUAUAAUAAUAUUUAGGGAUAAAAUUACUCUAAAUCAUCUUUAUUUUUUUUUUAAAUAGAAACUGUUAUUUUUUCUAUUUAUAAAGGAAGAAAUAGUCUUUUGUAUAUUUUAUUUUAUAUUUGGAGAUUGUUAUUUAAAAAUACAUAGAGCAUAUUUCAUCUUUAUUACAAAGUUUUUUUUAUUUUAGAGAUAAAGAUAGCAAAAUACAUUAAAGAUAGUUUAAAAGAUUCUUGUGACCUCUCAAAUGACAGAGAGGGUCUCAAAAUUUCUUACCUCUCAUACUUUUUGAGUUUAUAUUGUUUUAUUGUUUACAUAUCUUAUCUAAUUACUGACGAUGGGCAUGGCCUAAUGAUGCCCUAAUGUAUAUAAGAAUCAAUUUCCCAAAAGGAAAAAACAAAUUUUGUGAAGGGUUUCUUGUGAAUCUGUACCUUUUUUAAAAGUUUAUUGUGUUUAUCAUUCAUAAGUAUUGUAUAUGGUUUCUUGUCUAAUAUGCGUUUGAAUUAUGUUGUUUUUAGCUGAACUAAUGAGAUUCAGUGAUUACAUUCCACCUUUCACCGGAGCAUCGCCGGAACAAGCUCACACCGGUUUAAAUUACGCUUCUGGCGGCGCGGGAAUUCUCGAAGAUACUAGCUACCAUCUGGUAAGAACAUACUUUAGAAGCAAAAGAGAUCAAAAUAAAGAUAUUUCUUUAUUUUUCCUCGGGUAUUUCAUUUUUACUAAUACUAAUAUAUGGUUAAGUAACUUUCCUAAACGUACUACUAUAUUUAGUAAUACUGAUUCAAAAAACGCGCAGUGAUCAUUUGUUCUCAUUUGGUAGCUCGAAUGUUUGGUUAAUAUGAAACUAAUUAGUAAAUUGAGAUUUUGUAACUGAAAGUUUGAGGUUUCAAACCUAACUUAGAAAAAGACAAUUUAAAAUGUUGUGAUUCCCUGUCCAAUGAAUAUACACAAAUAAUUUUGUAAAUGUUUUAGGUGACUAUAAAUAAUUUUUUUAUUUUAUUUCUUUUAAAGCAAAUAAUCAUUUGGUUCGAUUGAUUUGCUUUUUCUUUUCUUUUUUCUGGCAGGGAUCCUAAAUAUGACUCGCUUAUUUGACAUUUUUUUGUGUUUAAACACUUAAAUUAAUUACUUACGCAUUAUGAUAUUUCUUACGAUAGGGUGAUAGAAUCAGUUUUAGAACGCAAAUCAAGAACCACCGGACGGCGAUUAUGACUGCAAAAGUGCCCCCGGAGAAGCUGAAGCAAUGUCUAUACACUAUUAAUAUAGGAAGCAAUGAUUAUCUUAACAACUACUUCAUGCAGGGUGAUAAGUACAAUACACAACGCAAGUACACUUACGAUCAAUUUGCUGAUUCCCUCAUUCGACAUUAUCGCUCUUUUCUGAAGGUAAUAUACCCAAGGUUUUGAAAAGAAAAUUAAUAAAGGAAUCAUAAACCUUCAUAUUUCAUUGAAAUAACUUUGACAUUAUAAAUAGUUGAUUAAUUUCCAUAUAAAACAUCAUGCAGAGUAUUGGAUAUAUCUCUAUAAAUUUUACUCCUAUUUAAUUAUCUAUCUUUAAACAGAUUAAUUUAGAGACAUUUUUUUGUAUAAGUUGUUGUAUGUCCAAGGAGCAAGGAAGGUGGCUCUGUUUGGGGUCAGUAAGAUAGGGUGCACCCCGCGGAUGAUUUCCUCCCAUGGUGGUGGUAUGGGCUGUGCCGCUGAAGUGAACAAAGCAGUUGAACCUUUCAACAUGAACCUUAAAGCUCUGGUCAGAGAGUUCAACACUAACUUCGCCGAUGCUAAGUUCACUUUUGUCGAUAUGUACACCGGGCAAACUCCAUUUGCGUAUGCUGCCUU
rnacentral:lncRNA from 1 species